rnacentral:rRNA from 1 species
CGGAGGGUGCAAGCGUUAUCCGGAUUCACUGGGUUUAAAGGGUGUGUAGGCGGGCUAUUAAGUCAGUGGUGAAAUCUCAGGGCUCAACCCUGAAACUGCCAUUGAUACUAUUAGUCUUGAAUAUCGUUGAGGUUGGCGGAAUAUAUCAUGUAGCGGUGAAAUGCAUAGAUAUGAUAUAGAACACCGAUUGCGAAGGCAGCUAACUAAGCGAUGAUUGACGCUGAGGCACGAAAGCGUGGGGAUCAAACAGGAUUAGAUACCCUGGUAGUCCACGCCCUAAACGAUGAUUACUCGACAUACGCGAUACACAGUGUGUGUCUGAGCGAAAGCAUUAAGUAAUCCACCUGGGAAGUACGUCCGCAAGGAUG